UACGGGGGGGGCAAGCGUUGUUCGGAAUUACUGGGCGUAAAGGGCUCGUAGGUGGCCAACUAAGUCAGACGUGAAAUCCCUCGGCUUAACCGGGGAACUGCGUCUGAUACUGGAUGGCUUGAGUUCGGGAGAGGGAUGCGGAAUUCCAGGUGUAGCGGUGAAAUGCGUAGAUAUCUGGAGGAACACCUGAGGUGAAGACGGGUUGCUGGGCUGACACUGACGCUGAGGCGCGAAAGCUAGGGGAGCAAACGGG
rnacentral:rRNA from 1 species